rnacentral:rRNA from 1 species
AUACAUGCAAGUCGAGCGGACAGAAGGGAGCUUGCUCCCGGAUGUUAGCGGCGGACGGGUGAGUAACACGUGGGUAACCUGCCUGUAAGACUGGGAUAACUCCGGGAAACCGGAGCUAAUACCGGAUAGUUCCUUGAACCGCAUGGUUCAAGGAUGAAAGACGGUUUCGGCUGUCACUUACAGAUGGACCCGCGGCGCAUUAGCUAGUUGGUGAGGUAACGGCUCACCAAGGCGACGAUGCGUAGCCGACCUGAGAGGGUGAUCGGCCACACUGGGACUGAGACACGGCCCAGACUCCUACGGGAGGCAGCAGUAGGGAAUCUUCCGCAAUGGACGAAAGUCUGACGGAGCAACGCCGCGUGAGUGAUGAAGGUUUUCGGAUCGUAAAGCUCUGUUGUUAGGGAAGAACAAGUGCAAGAGUAACUGCUUGCACCAUGACGGUACCUAACCAGAAAGCCACGGCUAACUACGUGCCAGCAGCCGCGGUAAUACGUAGGUGGCAAGCGUUGUCCGGAAUUAUUGGGCGUAAAGGGCUCGCAGGCGGUUUCUUAAGUCUGAUGUGAAAGCCCCCGGCUCAACCGGGGAGGGUCAUUGGAAACUGGGAAACUUGAGUGCAGAAGAGGAGAGUGGAAUUCCACGUGUAGCGGUGAAAUGCGUAGAGAUGUGGAGGAACACCAGUGGCGAAGGCGACUCUCUGGUCUGUAACUGACGCUGAGGAGCGAAAGCGUGGGGAGCGAACAGGAUUAGAUACCCUGGUAGUCCACGCCGUAAACGAUGAGUGCUAAGUGUUA